AACUUCCAUUUUUAAGCCCCCAGUUUAAAACACAUAAAUUGACACUCCAGACUGGCUGACUAAGAUCAGUUUACAAAGCCAGACACUCCACGACUGCUUUCACCAUUCAUCAGAGCAGCAGCAGCAGAUCGAUUCAAAACCGAGAGGCUCUUCAGCCAUGCAGAUCUACUGACGGUUUGGGAACGUGACACGCCGCCGCAUGCCAGAUAAAAACAUGUCCCAGUGAGCAGAUCAACCACCUGUUCCUCUGCCAGAGCAGAUGAUUAGCUUGCUAUGGCUUAUCAGGGACGAACCGGGCAAAGAAGAGGAUAUCUCACCUUCUGCGUCACUUUUUUCCAGUCGGCUUUAAAGAUCAAAGCAAGGAAGAAACCCGUCUGGAUGAAAACACAAAUUAGGAGACCGAGCCACAAGCCUGAAAAGACAGAUCAGCGUACAAGACAAGUAAUUACUACGCUCUUCAGCAAGUUUUGAGUUAGGUAAAAGAAAGGAAGCAAAU